rnacentral:rRNA from 1 species
AGCAGUCGCCACGGGAAUACGGAGGGGGCUAGCGUUGUUCGGAAUUACUGGGCGUAAAGCGCACGUAGGCGGCUUGGUAAGUUAGAGGUGAAAGCCUGGAGCUCAACUCCAGAAUUGCCUUUAAGACUGCCGAGCUAGCAGGUGAGAGAGGUAAGUGGAAUUCCGAGUGUAGAGGUGAAAUUCGUAGAUAUUCGGAAGAACACCAGUGGCGAAGGUGGCUUACUGGCUCAUACUGGACGCUGAGGUGCGAAAGCGUGGGGAGCAAACAGGAUUAGAUACCCCAGUAGUCCCUGUCUCUUAUAC